rnacentral:rRNA from 1 species
UACAGAGACUGCAAGCGUUACUCGGAUUCACUGGGCGUAAAGGGAGCGCAGGUGGGCAGAUGUGUCGGGCGUGAAAUCCCGGGGCUUAACUCCGAAACUGCAUUCGAUACUGCGGUGCUUGAGGACUGGAGAGGAGACUGGAAUUCAUGGUGUAGCAGUGAAAUGCGUAGAGAUCAUGAGGAAGACCAGUGGCGAAGGCGGGUCUCUGGACAGUUCCUGACACUGAGACACGAAGGCCAGGGGAGCAAACGGG